UUCUAAUUGCUUCACAGUUAGUAUGACCUGCACCAUGAACUUUUAAAUAGCCGCUAUUUCUGUGCUAAGGUAGCAAAAUCAUUCGCCUUUCAAUUGAAGGCUUGUAUGAAAGGUCUAACAUGAGAAUUUCUUUAUUAUUGCUAUUUUUUGAAAUUAACGCAAAUGUAAAAAGACACUUAUUAUUAGAGGGACGACAAGACCCUGUCGAGCUUUACAACACGUUGAGCUGGGGCGGCUAAAAACAAUUUCUUUUUUCGUUAAUCAUCCAUUUUUGUGAUUUUGAACAAGUUACCGCAGGGAUAACAGCAUAAUUUUUUCUUCCAGAUCUUAUUCAAGAAAAAGAUUGUGACCUCGAUGUUGAAUAUUUAUCUAAUAGGAGCAAAAUCUUAUUUAGAAAGUCUGUUCGACUUUUAAAACUUUACA
rnacentral:rRNA from 1 species